rnacentral:lncRNA from 1 species
CUCCUCCCCUUCUUCCUAAAGGUGAGUGUCUGUUUACAGGCAUCACAGCGGAGAAGUGCUUUCAUUUCAGCGUCAGUGUGACGAGCAGAAUAUCAGACAGCAGCCGCAGCAGUGUCUCAGAUCACAGCCUGACAGGAGGAGAGAGACUGGUUUAGUGACUGCUGGCCAUUCCCACGUACUGGAGCCCACCCAACUUUCCAUUCCUGCUGGUGCCACCAGGCUGCUCUCAGCUCCUUUCCACCGGAGCAGAAGAACACGUUCCUCGUGCCUCUGCUUCCCCUCGGGAUGCAAGUGCUACUGCACCAAGGCAGAGACCUCAGACUAUGCAAAGACCAUGUCGUCAUGUUCCCUGAAGUCAGAUCUGGAAAGGCAUUGUGCAAGCCUCAGAGGGGUAACUCACCUGCACUUGGCUGAUUUUGGAUUCUCUACACAACAUCUGUAGUUCCAUAAUUAUAGGUCCAUAAUCCAUCCAGAUUAUGGAAAGCAGAAGUCAAGAGGAGCUUAUUGGUAAGGUAGCUUAUUUCUCCUGUUGGACUGGGACCUGAAACACUGUCCUUUGAUGCUGUCACUAGGUGGGGUGGUUCGAGUCUGUUUUACCAGCAGCAAAUCUAGCUUGUGGCAGUAGCAAACAGGAUGCUGGUAAAAUAGCUCUUGAAAACCAGACUGCAGAACCAAGUAGGUGCAUGAUGGAUGAAUGCAGACAUUGUCAAAUAAAUGUGAAGUACUGG